GGGAUUCCCAGGAACGCGACGAGGAUUGGCGGGAAAAGGCCGAGGCCGAGCUGAGGCGGCACCGCCCCGGGGCCGUCCUGGGGGCGCUGGAGCUGCUGGCCAAUCACAGCACCAGGUUGCUGAUGUCAAGCCCCGCCCCCUCAGCUGAGGCCCCACCCACCGUGACCCAGCUCAUCCAGGACUGUUGGGGGGCCGUGGGGGGGAUUUGGGGGUCGUUGCCCCCCCUCAUUUCCCACCUCCAGCACCUCCAGAGGAGCCUCAACGGGGUCCUCCCCAAACUGGGGGGGGAACCCAAAAUCAGG